UCUUAUGGAUGGGCAGAAAAAAUGGUUUCUUGAGAUGGAAUCCAUUCCUGCUGAAAAUGCUAUGAA
rnacentral:pre_miRNA from 1 species